UACACCCAGUCUGAGGCUUGACCUUAGAACCGCCAAGAUCGAGAGGCGCAUUCUCUACUGACUGAGCAGCCACACGCCCCUAAGGUCAGAGUCUCUGGACUCGUAAGGUUACGCCAAUUGAAGGUGACAGAGGAGUGAGAACCGUUCCUGCAGACAGUAGGAAGCUGACGCAUGAACUAGCGGAAAUCAGCAUGACUGACGACGGAGAUGGAAAGAAGACGAAGAAGCCUGUAGUGAGUGUGAACCUUUA